CCACCGGCUGGGAGGACACAGAGGUGCUGCGGCUGGUGCGGCCACCCAGCGAGACAGCACCCAGGGCCUCAUUGAAGGUCAGCUCAUCUGUGAACUCGUGGCACUGCGGGAAGAAGGGAGGCACGGUCACAAAGAGCCACGCCUCACCGUUGUCUUCUCCAGACAGUGCAGCAAGUGGUGGUGUUGUUUCUCAAAAGCAGACCGGUUCCUGACACACAGGGCCUGGUCCUCCCCACUGCCGCUGUCCUGGAGCAGAUGGAGCAGACACGUGAGGAAGGCGUUGGUGGUCCCACUCUUUGCCAACCGGAUCCUUGCUAAGCGCACCUUCUACAGAGAGGAGAGAAAGAGUCAGAUGCGGCUGAAGUUAGAAACAAUGACUGGCACAGGCAGAGCGAUGACCAGGACACCACUGAGUGAGCAGAUGGAUCCGAAAAUCUUGCCAGCAAUGGUGCUGGGCACCAUGUCUCCGUAUCUGGGGCCAGAGGAGAUAAGAACACUGAGGCACAGAUGUUAAAUGACUUUCAAAUGCACACAUCUGUUAAGUGGCAGCCACAGAAGGUUGAGAAUACUGAGAACAAUAUUCUGCUUGUCCACUCCAACCUCACAGUCGUCAUCCAAGACCUCAGGCUCCUCUGGAAGUUGCUGGUCCAAGAUGUCUGCAUCACGGAGAGCCCCACCGCCAUCCCUCUUCUGUGGAAGGGUCUGUGUCUGGGAGCCUAGGCACCACAGACAGCUUUUAGGGCAUUUCCGGGGCCAGCACUGCCCAUAGCCCCAUAUCACCAGCCCUUGGCCUUGGAGAGGUGUGCAAUGCAAAUAAAACUAAGCCCGCCCCUUAACUCCUGACUAACAUUUCUCACAGCUGAUCUGACAAGAUCCUUUGUCCCAUUUUCAGAUGAGAAUACUGAGACCCACAGAGAAUUUUUAUUUCAUUGCCUGGGAUAC